CAGUCUGUGUAAUGUUUCUUGUAUGGACGUCUUCAGGAUUGAUCAUUUGGUAUUGGAUAACCAAUGGACGUGCUCUUCCCUAGAGCAGACUAUUUCUCCUGCCCUCAGCAUUCCUUAGAUGCCUGUACUUCUUUGCAUGCGGCUGAGGCCUCAUGGGCUUCCUGCUCCUCCCCACACUAGCAUGUCAGUUGGUGGUGUCCUUGUCUGGUUUAGUUUCUUCUUUUAGUGGCUGCUGGUGCUUUGGCUUCUGACAUUUGCUUGUGUUCUAAUGGACUGGUUUGUCAUUGCUGGAUGUACAUGGGAGGCUGAGGCCAUGACUUCUUGGUCUCUUGAGUCAGACUUUCCUGAUGUCCAUCGUGUUCUAUCUCCUAAAUUUUUCUGACACUUACUCUCCACGGCCACCACCUUUUCUGUUCCCUUUUUACAUUUUGUAGCUUUAAAAACCAAUCCCUCUAUUGUUACCUUAGGGGAUUUUGGGAGGAAGUGUAAACAGACACAGGUUGCUAACCAGUAGCCUACUUUUCUAAUUUUGUCUUCUUGUGAAUUUGGUUAUUAGUCAAUAAAUAUGGGUUCCUUUCAGUUCGGCUCAAGUGAAUCGGAGUCCCCUAAGUAGCCCUGUUUCCAGCUGGUGCUCCCAUAGCUUCAUUGUACAGAAAGCCGGUGUGAAGAUCAACAGAACCGCACACACGUAAGUAUUGCUCAGAUAAGACUGUGUACAGCAAGGUAAGGCGGUGUCAGCCGGCCCCUCGGGUGAUGUUUCUGUGAUUCCCGAGGAGGACGAAAGCGGCUUCUGCAAGAGCAUGGCCUAGUAUGAGGUGGCGGAGACCGGAAGAGGAAGAGACCUAUGCAGGGGACAUCUGACAUGAAGGGCCAUAUCCCAAGUUGAAGUGGCUCCUACACUCUAGGGUGCAGGCUUGCUAUAAACUUGCUCAGACCACUGAGGCCAAGGUCAACAUGAACGUAACAGUGGUAGAGUCUGGAUUCCUGCAAUCAUGUGAUGCACUAGCUCAAUGCCUCUUGUUUCUAGCAUCAGAGGCAGGAAGAAAUCACCAACUACUCCCUGAGAAGACUUUUAUGGAUUUGACUGUUAGUGAUGCAUAUUGCUUCUGCCCACAUCUUAUCUGCAAGGCUAACAACAAAGAAGGUUGGGGAAUGGAGUCUUCCCAUGUGGCCUGAAAUUGGAAGUAGGAAUGUGGGCUCUUCAUUUACUUGUGAGACUUCUGAAAAUUAGGUAAUAUAGCUUUGAUACAUGCUAUUUCCUUUCCUUCUUUUUCCUAGGGAUUAGGUACAUACACAACUUCAAUGAGACGAAACCACAGUGGCAGAUAGUGGUGGUGGACUGGGGAAGCCGGCUUCCUGGUAAAGGAUAAAGGGAUACAGUCAAGGGAAUCAGUUGUAGUUUUGCUCUGGUCAUCUAAAAGUGAAUAAGAACUAUUAUGUUAGGAGGUGUUCUUGAGAGGACCCUAGGAAUGACAAUUCAAGGACACAGAAAGAAGAAAUAAGGGCGUGUUUGAAGAACAAUCCAGGGUCUUCCAGGUAAAGCAUUUUGGAAAGUGGUAGAAGGAAGGAAUGUCCAGGAUCCCCUUCAGAAAAUAGGGGGUACUCAGUAAUUCAGUGACUCCUUUCAGCAUCUAAUGCUGUUUUAAUUGAAGUCAUAGGUACAUAAAAUCUACUGAAGACGAUAGAUACUUUCACCAAAAGUUCAAAAUGCUUGACUUGAAUGACAAGUUAUAAAAAGAGGAUGACAAGGUGGAAGGCAAUUCUCUGUAUUAUUGGAGAGGGCAGUUUCAGUUUCUCUAACAUACAAAUUGAGAAUGCUUUGUGUGAAGCUUGAUUGAACCCAGGCUGGGUUAUAAGCCAUGGAAAACAAUGUUAGGGCAGGAAAAAUUACAUAUGAACUGGUCAGACAUAGAUUUUUUUGUUGUUGUUACUUUACUUAGGAUCAAAGGUUAGGGUAAGGUACAGGUGUAUCCUCUUCCUGAGAACUUCCUGCUGAAGCACUUCAAGGCUUUCAGUGUCAGAAUGCCUGAAAACUUAUUUCAAAUUGUUCGGAAAGCAAAUAUAGCAAAAUGUUAAUGGCUGAAUCUAGAUGGAGAAUGUAUGAAGACAUAUUCUCCUGUCCUUUGUAGUUUUAGAAAUUGAUAUAAAUUUCAAAAAUAACAAGUAACAUUUCUGCUAUAGCUUUGCUUAUCAAAAGAACAAAAACUAUAACUCAUUUACCCAGAGAACACAUCAGAAAAUGUUAACAGCAGGUCUCACCCACGACCUCCUGAUAGGGUUUCUCUGUAUAGCUGUAGCUGUCUUGGGACUUGCUCCGUAGACAAGGCCGACCUCAAAUUCAAACAUCCUCCUGCUUCUGCCUCCGGAGUGCUGGGACUUAAUCAAGAGUUUAAAACAGUAGUAGCUAGGGUCAACUAUUCUCUCUGGCACAUUUUAGGCACUGGGCUAUAAACACCAUGAAUGGGGAUGUGAAACCUGUUUUCUUUUUUUUAAAUUAAAAUUAAAUUUAUUAUUGUUUCGUGUGUUCAGAGGUUAGAGAGAGGGCGACUUGUGGGUAUUCUCUCCUUCCACUCUGUGGGUCUCAGGGACAGAGGUCAGGCUGUCAGGCUUGGCAGCAGGCAUCCCCAUCCGCUGAGCCUUUUCUUGGCCCUGUUUUCCCCUCACCACACAGCCUCUCUCUUGCACUUAGUUAACUGUUAGGAAGUAGAAGAGAAGUGUGAUUUUUGUCAAAUGAAUGGUGAUGUAAAUGUAAAAAUUCUGUUUACAAUACUCUCUUCUAACUUCUGCAUAUCAUGACAUUUUGGAGUAAAAGUAAGAACACACUACUAAUAUCUGCACAACUAGCACUCUUACAAUCACCUGUUAGUUCAGGAACUUAAGUUUUCAAUCGCUGGUUAGGCAUGCUCAAGCCUAUGUACCCCAAACUAAGUAACACCUAAGACUACCUUAAUAUUUUCAUACAUUUAUCAAGAUGGUUUUAAUCAAUAUUUUAAAAGCAAUGGCUGGAGUUUAUUACAUAUUUCAUCACCAAUGUAAAACCAAGCAGUUAGAAUCCCAGAAGAGAUGCCUCUGGGGCUUUAAGGUUAGAUUAUGGAUGGCUACAGAUGACUCGACUGUUUAACUUUUUUAAAAAUUGAAACCAGUGGUCAUCUAUCACUUACAUCUCAGAGUCAAGCGCUUUUGCAAACCC
rnacentral:sRNA from 1 species